UACAGAGGGGGCAAGCGUUGUUCGGAAUUACUGGGCGUAAAGGGCGCGUAGGCGGCCUUCUAAGUCGAACGUGAAAUCCCCGGGCUCAACCCGGGAACUGCGUCCGAUACUGGAAGGCUUGAAUCCGGGAGAGGGAUGCGGAAUUCCAGGUGUAGCGGUGAAAUGCGUAGAUAUCUGGAGGAACACCGGUGGCGAAGGCGGCAUCCUGGACCGGCAUUGACGCUGAGGCGCGAAAGCCAGGG
rnacentral:rRNA from 1 species